GAGCUGAGCAUUACUGUGGCAGCCGGCAUCCUGGCUCGCGUGCAGGGUUUACUUGUACUGGCACGGAGAGGCAGUUGUCUAGAGCAAUGAUUCUCAAACUCUGUCUUGUGUCAGAACUGUCUGAAGAGGCUGUUGAAAGGCAGAUUGCUGGGUCUUACUCCCAGACCCUCUGAUUCAGCAGAUUUGGAAUGAAGCCAAGGAUGUGUGCAUUUCACAAGGCCCCAGGUACUCAGGAAUACAUCAUGUGGAGUACAGUCUUCAAAAUGCCUGCCAGGAGGCACUUGUAACAUGGCCUGAGGAUGAUUUCCAGCUUUGUUAUUUAUCUGAGUAUCCACUCUACGGCCUCCAUACCAUUUGUACGGACAGCAGAGAGAACUUCUAACAGGAAAUAUAGUUCCAGACCUGGUCCAGCAAGUGGGGCUGAGACAAAGUGUAUACAUCAUCACACCUUCUGACAAAUACUCUUUUGCUGUCAUUUGCUGUCUAAAAGAAAGGAAGAAAGAAAGAAGGAAAGA